UGCGGGCAUGUCCAAGACAUAU
rnacentral:miRNA from 1 species